UUCAUAUGAUGUCUGUAUGUUAGUUUCUGUUACAGUCCAAUCUUUGAUCGACCUUUUUUCGGAGGAAAAUGGAUGGAGGGAGGGCAUACUUCGUCAUGGGGUUCACGGUUCAGGUCGGUGGAAGGGGGAUCCGCAAGAGCUACUGUAUUGUCUUUGGCCACUCAACCUUCGUUCAGGAACAUCAUAUUCCUUCUCUGCAGUUUUGUUUUUCAUUUCAUUGAUGUCUGCUCGCUUAUGACCGUUGGGCCCUAUGUCUGGGUUGCUAUAGAUGUCUUUGGGAUGGUCGGACGAAUUCAAAAGCCAAAGGUCUUGUAGUUAGAUAAGACGGAGAGCAUUGAACUCUGCUUUUUCAUUCAGGACAUGAAGGGAAAUCACCUGCUGUGCAUUCUGAGGAGUGAAUGUGCUGACAAGGCUUGGGAUGAAUAUGUUAAGUUGAAUGUUGAAGGCCCUAUUGCCUUGCGCAUUCGGUAUGUGUGGUUGUAUGUUGGCGAAGGUUGGUAACAGUGUGAACAGCUAAUUUACUAAUUUUAAAGUUAUACCUCCA